CAAAAUGUAGCUUAAUCCAAAGCACUCAGCUUACACCUGAAAGAUAUUUUACAUAAAUCAUUUUGA